UACACGGUGCGCCGCAUAAUGGAUUCCAGACGGCGGGGUCGAGGUUUCCAAUAUCUCGUGGAUUGGGAAGGAUAUGGUCCAGAGGAGAGGAGUUGGAUUCUCGGCGUCAGAUCCUUGAUGACGACCUGCUUCGUGACUUCUACCGCCUCCACCCUGGCGCUCCAGGUAGUCCGCCCGGUGGCGUUCGUCGGAGGGGGGGUACUGUCACGAAUCCCGCUUCCUGAGUCUGUUUGCCUGUGUUUCUGUCCUGGAGUGUGUUUCCGGUGUCCUGGAACGCACCCUGUCUGGUUGCCGGGCGAAUUAGCUUGUUGGGAGAUCGAUGUUCACCCGCACCUGUAUCCCAUCAGUAAUCUGCACACCUGUCCUGAUCAUCACCUCUCCCCUUCAAAAGCUCUGACCUGACAUCCAUUCCCUGCCGGAUCGUUAGCCAUGAACACCAUUCACCCGGAACCCAUACCCCAUCCCUGUCUGCUCGUCGCCAGUGUGUUGUUAUCCAUUGGAUCUGCCUAUCCACUCCCAUCAACCCACCUCCGCUGCCCGCUCCUCCACCCGGAACUAUCUACCUCCACGUUCUCAUUGAUUAAUAAAUAUUCACCAUCUUUAUA